UCAGGCUGUAGAUUCAAAAUUCAAAACCCCUCAUCCCAAUCUCUCUUUCUCCCUAAAAUAUCUGCAAGAACCCACCCUCCCGCUUAGGGAUAUUCCUAGAAAACCCUGGCUCACUCGAAAGCUAGGCUAAAGCUGAAUCUGAUGGUUUCAAGGCUAAAGUUGCUUCAGUUCGUGAUAGACAACUAGCCUAACAUCAUGUUAAUUGCUUCCUCCUUAACAUGCAAAAAGUUACUGUUGUCGUUAUUUAAUUCCAUACUAUUGCUAGCUAAUUUCUGUUUUUUAUUCAUUCCAUCUGUUGCAUCAGAUAUUUGAUCUUCGAUGCUUCUGGUUAAAAUUAGGGUUAUUAGUUUGUGGAUGUUGAAGUUACUAUUUGUGGUUUGAAGAGACCGGAAAACAGGAGCUAAAGCUCGAUUUGUGGUCGGAUCUCACAUAACCACCCCUAAUCUCAUCAUCGGUGUUACUCAAGUCUUCCGCUACAAGACGCGUCUUCUAAUUGCACACUUUCCGAUCCACGACAACAUAACUAACAAUACCUAAGCGAUUGAGAUUCAUAACGUUCUUGACAAAUAAGGAUAAAGCCUCUACUGAUUUUGAGACUGCAAUAGCCCAAAAUGAUGAUGACAGGAUGAAUUGAAGAGAAUAGCACAACACCGAUCAAACCCGGUAUUGGCCUUACAGUUGUGGCCAAAAUGCUAAAUCAUGAUGUGGGCUUGAGGGCGAUGAAGAGUGGCUGGUAGAAGUCAGUUUUUUGAGUGAUCUUUUGAACCCAAAUUUGGUCAAGUUGAUUGGUUAUUGCAUUGAAGAUGAUCAACGGUUGUUAGUCUACGAGUUCUUGCUUAGAGAGAGCUUGGAGAAUCACUUGUUAAGAAGUAUGUCAUGUCUUCGUUGUGUUAAUAAUUUCUUAUCAUCAGUAUAAAAAGAAAGAUCAUGUUUCUGAUUAUUUAGGGGUCAAUCACUAAGUUUGGGAUGAUCUUUAAUAACAUGCCACUGCAAUCCAUGAUAAAAAUGGCCUUUUUGGUCACUUUCAAGAAAUACCAAUUGCAUCCACCAAGAUCAAUCCAUAUCGGAUGAUGGUCGUGGCUCGACUGUUUAUUUUCACGAUAUUUUUCGGUAUAGACUGUUGAAUACUGU
rnacentral:lncRNA from 1 species